UCGGUAAAACUCGUGCCAGCCACCGCGGUUAUACGAGUCACUAAAGAAAAUAAUUACGGCACAAAGGGUGGUUAAGCCUCCCCAUAGUAGGGCCAAACACUAGUAUAAGUUGUGAAAAGCUGGUUUAGCAUGAAGCCCAAUAACGAAAGUAGCCCUAUUAACCUGACCCCACGAAAACUACCAAACAAACUGGGAUUAGAUACCCCACUAUGA
rnacentral:rRNA from 1 species